rnacentral:rRNA from 1 species
GCUAGCGGCAGGCCUAACACAUGCAAGUCGAGGGGUAACGAUGUCUUCGGACAGGCGACGACCGGCGCACGGGUGAGUAUCGCGUUUGUAACCUACCUUUAACUGGAGCAUAGCCCGAAGAAAUUCGGAUUAAUACUCCAUAACACUAUGAUCUGGCAUCUUAUUAUAGUUAAAGCUCCGGCGGUUAAAGAUGGGCAUGCGUAACAUUAGCUUGUUGGUGAGGUAACGGCUCACCAAGGCUACGAUGUUUAGGGGGUCUGAGAGGAUGGUCCCCCACACUGGUACUGAGACACGGACCAGACUCCUACGGGAGGCAGCAGUGAGGAAUAUUGGUCAAUGGGCGCAAGCCUGAACCAGCCAUGCCGCGUGAAGGAUGACAGCCCUAUGGGUUGUAAACUUCUUUUGUACGGGAAGAAACAUUUCUACGUGUAGGAACUUGACGGUACCGUACGAAUAAGCAUCGGCUAACUCCGUGCCAGCAGCCGCGGUAAUACGGAGGAUGCAAGCGUUAUCCGGAUUUAUUGGGUUUAAAGGGUACGUAGGCGGAAGAUUAAGUCAGUAGUGAAAUCCCGCAGCUUAACUGUGGAACUGUUAUUGAUACUGGUUUUCUUGAAUAUUGU